UACGUAGGGUGCAAGCGUUAAUCGGAAUUACUGGGCGUAAAGCGUGCGCAGGCGGCUUUGCAAGCCAGAUGUGAAAUCCCCGGGCUUAACCUGGGAACUGCAUUCGAUACUGCCGUGCUUGAGGACUGGAGAGGAGACUGGAAUUUACGGUGUAGCGGUGAAAUGCGUAGAUAUCGUAAGGAAGACCAGUGGCGAAGGCGGGUCUCUGGACAGUUCCUGACGCUGAGGCACGAAGGUCAGGGGAGCAAACGGG
rnacentral:rRNA from 1 species